UACAGGGGGUGCAAACGUUGCUCGGAAUCAUUGGGCGUAAAGCGCACGUAGGCGGUCUGUUAUGUCGGAUGUGAAAGCCCUUGGCUUAACUGAGGAAGUGCAUCCGAAACUGGCAGGCUAGAGUACUAAAGAGGGUCGUGGAAUUCCCGGUGUAGAGGUGAAAUUCGUAGAUAUCGGGAGGAACACCGGUGGCGAAGGCGGCGACCUGGGUAGAUACUGACGCUGAGGUGCGAAAGCGUGGGGAGCAAACAGG
rnacentral:rRNA from 1 species